CAACAUUCUUUUUCAUGUCUAGAUGGCCUUGUUGAUUUACAGAACAAACAUAAUGGAAGCGUAUUCUACACGCACAUAUUCACUCGGGCCAACCGUGUGACUCAUUUGGAAAAAGGACUCAUCGUCGGUUUCAUGGCAGCGAAGUGAGCAGACAAAAAAGGCAUCGUUUUUUUUCCACAUGAUCGUUCUGAGCAAAAUUCAGCGAUUUGCCAGGCAUAAACCACCGAUGAGACAGUACCCGUUCGGAUUCAGGACGUUUUCCCAUACAUUGUACCCGGUCGAAGCGAUGGCAAGCGAUGUAGAUAACUGGGUCAAAAAGGCGGAGGUUCUGGGAAUUUCUGCACUCGUUAGCGAUCUGAGUAUGACCAAGGACAAGGAAUCAGAACCGGCGACUGACAGUCCAGAGAAAGAGAAUGCGGAAAAACCUUCUAGUCCAUAGCUCCUGAAGAAAAACGAGCUGAAGCGAAUAUGGAGAAACAGUUUCCUCCACGGAAAAUGCAGAGGCAUGCAACGCGGCGGAUGCAAGUUUGCUAAUUGAAAUUAUUCGCAAAGAUCUAGUAGAAUUAAAACUGGAGGUGCUGCGAAACGAUCCUUUUUCGACGCUAUACUCGGUUAAAACUAUCGACGCUUUGCACCUGAUGCCGGAACUGCCCACCCCGAGAGCAGAUGAGCGCUGGGGAAUGUUUUCAGCCACCUGGAGGAGGAAGUUCAGCGCGGAAGAAAUGUUAGCAGACUUCGCCGAUCUGGUAUCUGGACAUUUUUGAUGAUCUCAUAGAGAUUGGGUGUGCAGAUGGGCGUUUAAAGUUCUGGGAGGGAACGACUGGUAACUUUUAGGAUAUAUAUGAAGCUGAAAACAACCACAACAAUGGGGUAACUAACAUAAACCUCGCCGGUGACAAAGUGAUAGUCGCACGGUUGAGUGAACGAAUCGAUUUUCUGAGACUGCAAACGUACACGUAAGGUUUUCAGAUCGAUUGGGGAUUUACGUCUGCAUAUGGGCGAAGUAAGUUCUAUGUUUCAAGCAAUUUUUUAAGCUCACCUAGGGCGCAGACAGAUUUUACUUGUUCUUUUAAAAUACUGUAUAUUCUAAGUCAUUUAAUUUUCAGUCUGUAAUGAGUAUGUCAUCAAGUGCCUUAAUUCUUUUUCUUUUUAGCCCACGUACGCAGCGGUUCGGCAGGAAGCAUUAGUUUAUUUCAGCAACCCGCCGGCUCAAAUCCGUCCACAGCGUUGCCAGCUCAACAUCACGCAUCCGAGGAGGAGCUUCGAUGUAUCCUGGAGUUUCACCAGCAGGGUCACCGGUGACAUGUUUGGAAGUGGCGGGCGGUACAGUCAUUACUGGCAGCCAGGGCCACACUGUUAACGUGUUCCGGCUUGAUAGCCACCUAUUGCAGUUCACCCUAAACGGCCAUUGCGGUCCUAUCACAUGUAUUUUCAUAGACCAGUGGCAGGCCGAGAUGGGCGCAUCUGGUUGCCAGGAUGGUGUGCUAUGUGUGUGGGACUUGAUACGGGGUGCCUGUAUGUACAAAAUUGAAGCCCAUGACGACAUGACGUCGCACUUGCCUGUUCCCCGAGUUACGCAAU